GAGGGCAUAGCUCAGUGGUAGAGGGUGUGCUUAGCAUGCAUGAUGUCAUAGGUUCAAUCCCCAGUACUUUCA
rnacentral:tRNA from 1 species